rnacentral:lncRNA from 1 species
GAUUAUUUUUACUAUAAAUCAAGUUGAGAUUUCAUAAAUAUUAUGAAAAAUUUUAAUUACUUAUCUAUUCUUCCCUCAUGGCAUCUAAUGAGAUCGAACAAUUUUUCUUUCAAUUGAUAUCAGAGCCAGCCUUGUAUAUCAUGAUCGCAUAGUCAAAAUUUGAGAUUUUUUUGAUUUUUUUAUCUUAGUUUUGAACCAUA